rnacentral:rRNA from 1 species
CCUAAAUACUAAUACCAGAUCGAUAGUGCACAAGUACCGUGAGGGAAAGGUGAAAAGAACUGAGGUGAUCAGAGUGAAAUAGAACCUGAAACCAUUUGCUUACAAUCAUUCAGAGCCCUAUGUAGCAAUACAGGGUGAUGGACUGCCUUUUGCAUAAUGAGCCUGCGAGUUGUGGUGUCUGGCAAGGUUAAGCAAACGCGAAGCCGUAGCGAAAGCGAGUCUGAAUAGGGCGCUUAGUCAGAUGCUGCAGACCCGAAACGAAGUGAUCUAUCCAUGAGCAAGUUGAAGCUAGUGUAAGAACUAGUGGAGGACUGAACCCAUAGGCGUUGAAAAGCCCCGGGAUGACUUGUGGAUAGGGGUGAAAGGCCAAUCAAACUUCGUGAUAGCUGGUUCUCUCCGAAAUAUAUUUAGGUAUAGCGUUGUGUCGUAAUAUAAGGGGGUAGAGCACUGAAUGGGCUAGGGCAUACACCAAUGUACCAAACCCUAUCAAACUCCGAAUACCUUAUAUGUAAUCACAGCAGUCAGGCGGCGAGUGAUAAAAUCCGUCGUCAAGAGGGAAACAACCCAGACUACCAGCUAAGGUCCCUAAAUCUUACUUAAGUGGAAAACGAUGUGAAGUUACUUAAACAACCAGGAGGUUGGCUUAGAAGCAGCCAUCCUUUAAAGAAAGCGUAAUAGCUCACUGGUCUAGUGAUUUUGCGCGGAAAAUAUAACGGGGCUAAAGUAAGUACCGAAGCUGUAGACUUGCGCACAACUUAGAUUAUUUAAGUUUAGAAUAUGAGAAACUAAGUUAUAUGUUUAGUUAUAUUUUUACUGAUUUUUAUAGAGUAAAGAUAGAAAUAAAACUUAGUAAAAUCAGUAAAAAUAUUCUUAGACUAAAGUUAAGUAGUUUAAGUUGUGUGCAAGUGGUAGGAGAGCGUUCUAUUUGCGUCGAAGGUAUACCGGUAAGGAGUGCUGGAGCGAAUAGAAGUGAGCAUGCAGGCAUGAGUAGCGAUAAUUAAUGUGAGAAUCAUUAACGCCGUAAACCCAAGGUUUCCUACGCGAUGCUCGUCAUCGUAGGGUUAGUCGGGUCCUAAGUCGAGUCCGAAAGGGGUAGACGAUGGCAAAUUGGUUAAUAUUCCAAUACCAACAUUAGUGUGCGAUGGAAGGACGCUUAGGGCUAAGGGGGCUAGCGGAUGGAAGUGCUAGUCUAAGGUCGUAGGAGGUUAUACAGGCAAAUCCGUAUAACAAUACUCCGAGAACUGAAAGGCUUUUUGAAGUCUUCGGAUGGAUAGAAGAACCCCUGAUGCCGUCGAGCCAAGAAAAGUUUCUAAGUUUAGCUAAUGUUGCCCGUACCGUAAACCGACACAGGUGGGUGGGAUGAGUAUUCUAAGGCGCGUGGAAGAACUCUCUUUAAGGAACUCUGCAAAAUAGCACCGUAUCUUCGGUAUAAGGUGUGGUUAGCUUUGUAUUAGGAUUUACUCCGAAAGCAAGGAAACUUACAACAAAGAGUCCCUCCCGACUGUUUACCAAAAACACAGCACUCUGCUAACUCGUAAGAGGAUGUAUAGGGUGUGACGCCUGCCCGGUGCUCGAAGGUUAAUUGAUGGGGUUAGCAUUAGCGAAGCUCUUGAUCGAAGCCCGAGUAAACGGCGGCCGUAACUAUAACGGUCCUAAGGUAGCGAAAUUCCUUGUCGGUUAAAUACCGACCUGCAUGAAUGGCGUAACGAGAUGGGAGCUGUCUCAAAGAGGGAUCCAGUGAAAUUGUAGUGGAGGUGAAAAUUCC